UUAUUGGCCAGUAGCAAUACUUUGUAAACAAUAACUUAAUAGGUAACCAGUUUAGAGAUUAUCAAAUUGGAGUUAUAUGGUGCUAUUUUCUUGCUGUGCAUGUUUUAGGAAUUGUUUGGAGGAAGAAAAUGCCUCUCAUGUCUUUACAGGUUCUGUUACUUUCCAGGUGCAACUCCACCCAUCUACCUAAUUUGUAUAUAAGAGAAGAAAAUAUAUGGCGUCAUGCAGAAACCUCGAAAAUAGCCGUUACAGGAACACACAUCUGUCCAAGACAGGAUUUUCAUGGUUGUAUAACUUGGGAGAAGAAAUUCUACAUUCCGGAAACAAAGAUUU